AUGGCAUUUUCGUAGGUUUGCCAAGGGAUAAACCCACAAACCUGCCUUUGUAUAUAAUUAAUCAGGAAAUACUAGACGUGCGCGCCUUCUUUCAAGUCAAUUAAAUAAUAUAAUACAACACAAACACCGUUAAACGCGUAAAGAUGAAAAUAAUGUUUUAUUAGCACUUUCGAUCGAUGACAAACUACAACCAAAAACGAGACUAGCAAGAGGAACGCGUGCGGACACACCGGCGCGAUUAAGACGACUAGACCAACUCGACUUAAGCCGUGUGCGCGUGAUUGUGCACAGGUGCGCAACUCAAACGCGCAACCAAAAAUCAACCUUAAGAGCGACAAAUCAUGCAAAGAAGCGCGAAUAUUUCGCGAUUUUGAUUCCAAUCGCUAAAACCGAACUAACUAGAUCUUGAAAUACCUUAAAAACAAAUAAUAUUUUCCAAUACGUCAUCACGCAACUGAAAUUACUUUAAUAAAUAAUUAUAAUUAUAUAGAACUUUAAAUUCCAAAGAUAAAAUUACUUAAAUUGUCAUUUCUAGAAUGUGAAAUUUUACCUUAAUAACCAUGCGCUAUGGUUAUACACUGGCAGUAAACAAUCGAACACCAAACUAAUCCAAACACCAAAUAUGAAGCAAUUUACUAUUGCAUUAGUUGUAAUCACAUUCGCUUUUUGUAUAAAUUUAAUAGUUACUGAAAAGUAUGGCACCACAACUACAGAACCACCACCGCAACCGUGCGUUUUCUGUGAAAAUCUAACAACAAAAGAAGAAUGCAACGAAAUUGGAAUGGAUCACAGACCACUUACAUGUUUCGUUUGUCCAGAGUGUAUCCCACGGGGCAACCACACAUUAUACUAGACAAAUGGACACAAUAAAACGAAUACAUAUUAAAAAUAAA